UACGUAGGGUGCGAGCGUUGUCCGGAAUUACUGGGCGUAAAGAGCUCGUAGGUGGUUUGUCGCGUUGUCCGUGAAAACUCACAACUCAAUUGUGGGCGUGCGGGCGAUACGGGCAGACUGGAGUACUGCAGGGGAGACUGGAAUUCCUGGUGUAGCGGUGGAAUGCGCAGAUAUCAGGAGGAACACCGGUGGCGAAGGCGGGUCUCUGGGCAGUAACUGACGCUGAGGAGCGAAAGCGUGGGGGAGCAACAGG
rnacentral:rRNA from 1 species